UUGAACGCUGGCGGCAUGCCUUACACAUGCAAGUCGAACGGUAGAGGGGCAACCCUUGAGAGUGGCGAACGGGUGAGUAAUAUAUCGGAACGUGCCCAGUCGUGGGGGGAUAACGCAGCGAAAGCUGCGCUAAUACCGCAUACGAUCUAUGGAUGAAAGUGGGGGAUCGCAAGACCUCGCGCGAUUGGAGCGGCCGAUAUCAGAUUAGGUAGUUGGUGGGGUAAAAGCCCACCAAGCCGACGAUCUGUAGCUG
rnacentral:rRNA from 1 species